rnacentral:rRNA from 1 species
AGCAUGAACUUAGCUUGCUAAGUUUGAUGGCGACCGGCGCACGGGUGAGUAACACGUAUCCAACCUGCCGAUGACUCGGGGAUAGCCUUUCGAAAGAAAGAUUAAUACCCGAUGGCAUAGUUCUUCCGCAUGGUAGGACUAUUAAAGAAUUUCGGUCAUCGAUGGGGAUGCGUUCCAUUAGCUUGUUGGCGGGGUAACGGCCCACCAAGGCAUCGAUGGAUAGGGGUUCUGAGAGGAAGGUCCCCCACAUUGGAACUGAGACACGGUCCAAACUCCUACGGGAGGCAGCAGUGAGGAAUAUUGGUCAAUGGGCGCUAGCCUGAACCAGCCAAGUAGCGUGAAGGAUGACUGCCCUAUGGGUUGUAAACUUCUUUUAUAUGGGAAUAAAGUGCAGUAUGUAUACUGCUUUGCAUGUACCUUAUGAAUAAGGAUCGGCUAACUCCGUGCCAGCAGCCGCGGUAAUACGGAGGAUCCGAGCGUUAUCCGGAUUUAUUGGGUUUAAAGGGAGCGUAGGCGGGUUGUUAAGUCAGUUGUGAAAGUUUGCGGCUCAACCGUAAAAUUGCAGUUGAUACUGGCAUCCUUGAGUACAGUAGAGGUAGGCGGAAUUCGUGGUGUAGCGGUGAAAUGCUUAGAUAUCACGAAGAACUCCGAUUGCGAAGGCAGCCUGCUGGACUGUAACUGACGCUGAUGCUCGAAAGUGUGGGUAUCAAACAGGAUUAGAUACCCUGGUAGUCCACACAGUAAACGAUGAAUACUCGCUGUUUGCGAUAUACAGUAAGCGGC